rnacentral:rRNA from 1 species
UGAGUAACCUGCCCUUAACUCUGGGAUAAGCCUGGGAAACUGGGUCUAAUACCGGAUAUGACUCCUCAUCGCAUGGGUGGGGGGUGGAAAGCUUUAUUGUUGGUUUUGGAUGGACUCGCGGCCUAUCAGCUUGUUGAUGAGGUAAUGGCUUACCAAGGCGACGGCGGGUAGCCGGCCUGAGAGGGUGACCGGCCACACUGGGACUGAGACACGGCCCAGACCUCCGUACGGGAGGCAG